CUUUUUCCUUAGUGACCUCCUCUGUGUGUUUUGUGACAGGUUUCUUUGUUUUGGGUUUGGGUUUGAGUUUAGGUGUCUUUUUGUCUUCCUCUGUUUUGGGUGUUGGUUCUGGCUGUUCAGGAACAGGUGUUAGCUUUUCCUCAACAGGAGUAGGUGUGGGUUUCUCCUCAACUGUAAGAGGUGUGGGUUUUUGUUC